UGGGGAAUAUUGCACAAUGGGCGCAAGCCUGAUGCAGCCAUGCCGCGUGUGUGAAGAAGGCCUUCGGGUUGUAAAGCACUUUCAGCGGGGAGGAAGGCGGUGAGGUUAAUAACCUCACCGAUUGACGUUACCCGCAGAAGAAGCACCAGCUAACUCCGUGCCAGCAGCCGCGGUAAUACGGAGGGUGCAAGCGUUAAUCGGAAUUACUGGGCGUAAAGCGCACGCAGGCGGUCUGUCAAGUCGGAUGUGAAAUCCCCGGGCUCAACCUGGGAACUGCAUUCGAAACUGGCAGGCUAGAGUCUUGUAGAGGGGGGUAGAAUUCCAGGUGUAGCGGUGAAAUGCGUAGAGAUCUGGAGGAAUACCGGUGGCGAAGGCGGCCCCCUGGACAAAGACUGACGCUCAGGUGCGAAAGCGUGGGGAGCAAACAGG
rnacentral:rRNA from 1 species